rnacentral:rRNA from 1 species
UACGAAGGGGGCUAGCGUUGCUCGGAAUCACUGGGCGUAAAGCGCACGUAGGCGGAUUGUUAAGUCAGGGGUGAAAUCCUGGAGCUCAACUCCAGAACUGCCUUUGAUACUGACGAUCUCGAGUCCGGGAGAGGUGAGUGGAACUGCGAGUGUAGAGGUGAAAUUCGUAGAUAUUCGCAAGAACACCAGUGGCGAAGGCGGCUCACUGGCCCGGUACUGACGCUGAGGUGCGGAAAGCGUGGGGAGCAAACAGGGAUUAAGAAACCCUUGGUA